GACGAACGCUGGCGGCGUGCCUAAUACAUGCAAGUCGAGCGAAGUUUUUCUGGUGCUUGCACUAGAAAAACUUAGCGGCGGACGGGUGAGUAACACGUAAAGAACCUGCCUCAUAGACGGGGACAACUAUUGGAAACGAUAGCUAAUACCGGAUAACAGCAUAAAUCGCAUGAUAUAUGUUUAAAAGUUGGUUUCGGCUAACACUAUGAGAUGGCUUUGCGGUGCAUUAGCUAGUUGGUGGGGUAAAGGCCUACCAAGGCGACGAUGCAUAGCCGACCUGAGAGGGUGAUCGGCCACACUGGGACUGAGACACGGCCCAGACUCCUACGGGAGGCAGCAGUAGGGAAUCUUCCGCAAUGGGCGAAAGCCUGACGGAGCAACGCCGCGUGAGUGAAGAAGGAUUUCGGUUCGUAAAGCUCUGUUGUUAGGGAAGAAUGAUUGUAUAGUAACUAUAUACAGUAGAGACGGUACCUAACCAGAAAGCCACGGCUAACUACGUGCCAGCAGCCGCGGUAAUACGUAGGUGGCAAGCGUUGUCCGGAAUUAUUGGGCGUAAAGCGCGCGCAGGUGGUUUAAUAAGUCUGAUGUGAAAGCCCACGGCUCAACCGUGGAGGGUCAUUGGAAACUGUUAAACUUGAGUGCAGGAGAGAAAAGUGGAAUUCCUAGUGUAGCGGUGAAAUGCGUAGAGAUUAGGAGGAACACCAGUGGCGAAGGCGGCUUUUUGGCCUGUAACUGACACUGAGGCGCGAAAGCGUGGGGAGCAAACAGG
rnacentral:rRNA from 1 species